rnacentral:sRNA from 1 species
AUGCACCGGUGCGGGCACCGUAGUUCCUCGGUGCUGUGCGCACUCGUCUGACGCUCGCUCCGUUUGUCAGCC